AUAAUACUCCAUAGAUUAGAGACACUGGAAUGUUCUUUAGUCGAAAGUUCUGGCGCCUUAGGAUGGAUCUGCGGUCGAUUAGGUUGUUGUUGGGGUAACGGCCCAACAAGCCUGUAAUCGAUACGGGUUGUGGGAGCAAGAGCCCGGAGAUGGAAUCUGAGACACGAUUCCAGGCCCUACGGGGCGCAGCAGGCGCGAAAACUUUACAAUGCAGGAAACUGUGAUAAGGGAACUCCGAGUGCCCGUAUACGCGGGCUGUCCAGGUGUUUAAAAAUCAUCUGAAGAAAGGGCCGGGCAAGACCGGUGCCAGCCGCCGCGGUAAUACCGGCGGCUCGAGUGGUGGCCACUAUUAUUGGGCUUAAAACGUCCGUAGCUGGACCGAUAAGUCUCUUGGGAAAUCCGCCGGCUCAACCGGCGGGCGUCUAAGGGAUACUGUUAGUCUAGGGACCGGGAGAGGUGAGAGGUACUCCGGGGGUAGGAGUGAAAUCCUGUAAUCCCCGGGGGACCACCGAUGGCGAAGGCAUCUCACCAGAACGGCUCCGACAGUGAGGGACGAAAGCUGGGGGAGCGAACCGGAUUAGAUACCCGGGUAGUCCCAGCCGUAAACUAUGCGCGUUAGGUGU
rnacentral:rRNA from 1 species